AUAACUAUAUUGUUUAGGAAUAAGUAAUUUAAGCGUACAUGUAUAGAGAGCUUGUGGUUGGUGUAAACAAGUCAUGAAACUUAAACGAAUCUAUCCUUUUAAGAAGAACAAUCGGUAGAAACCGUUAUAUGACUUAGAGUGCAGUUUUUAAUAACUGUUAAAUAGGGUGGCAACGCGUAAGCACCACGUCCCUUGU
rnacentral:ncRNA from 1 species